rnacentral:tRNA from 1 species
CAUUAUGAAGCUUGAAUAGCAUUAGCCUUUUAAGCUAAAGAAGGGAUAAAAAUCUCCAUAAUGA